rnacentral:rRNA from 1 species
GGGCUUGACAUAUAGAUGAAUAACUAAGAGAUUAGUUAGUCCUUCGGGACAUCUAUACAGGUGGUGCAUGGUUGUCGUCAGCUCGUGUCGUGAGAUGUUAGGUUAAGUCCUGCAACGAGCGCAACCCCUGUGAUUAGUUGCCAACAGGUUAAGCUGGGAACUCUAAUCAGACUGCCGGUGAUAAAUCGGAGGAAGGUGGGGAUGACGUCAAAUCAUCAUGCCCUUUAUGUCCUGGGCUACACACGUACUACAAUGGCUGUAACAGAGAGAAGCAACACCGCGAGGUAGAGCGAAACUCAAAAAGCAGUCUCAGUUCGGAUUGAAGGCUGAAAUUCGCCUUCAUGAAGCCGGAAUUGCUAGUAAUGGCAGGUCAGCAUACUGCCGUGAAUACGUUCCCGGGCCUUGUACACACCGCCCGUCACACCAUGAGAGUUGGGGAUACCCGAAGCCUGUGAGCCAACUUCUACGAGGCAGCAGUCGAAGGUAGAAUCAAUGAUUGGGGUGAAGUCGUAACAAGGUAGCCGUAUCGGAAGGUGCGGCUGGAUCACCUCCUUU